GGCAAGAUGGCCGAGCGGUCUAUGGCGUGUGACUCAAGCGAGUAGCUUGCCUGCACAAGCAGGUUUCUCAUCAUCGAAAGAUGGCGGGGUUCGAAUCCCCCUCUUGUCA